CAGCAGCCACGGUAAUACGUAGGGGGCGAGCGUUGUCCGAAGUUACUGGGCGUAAAGCGCGCGUAGGCGGCUUCUUAAGUCUGAGGUGAAAGGUUCAACGCUUAACGUGAACAGUGCCUUGGAUACUGGGGAGCUUGAGUAUGGGAGAGGGCAGUGGAAUGGCUGGUGUAGCGGUGAAAUGCGUAGAUAUCAGUCGGAACACCCAUGGCGAAGGCGACUCUCUGGUCUGUAACUGACGCUGAGGAGCGAAAGCGUGGGGAGCGAACAGGAUUAGAUACCCCAGUAGUCCCUGUCUCUUAUA
rnacentral:rRNA from 1 species